GACAGAGGGGGCAAGCGUUGCUCGGAAUUACUGGGCGUAAAGGGCGCGUAGGCGGGAUGGUAAGUCGGUCGUGAAAUCCCUCGGCUCAACCGAGGAACGUCGAUCGAUACUACCGUUCUUGAGGAUUGCAGAGGAGACUGGAAUUCCCGGUGUAGCGGUGAAAUGUGUAGAGAUCGGGAGGAACACCGGUGGCGAAGGCGGCGUUCUGGACUGUUUCUGACACUGAAAAACGAAAGCCAGGGGAGCAAACGGG
rnacentral:rRNA from 1 species